rnacentral:rRNA from 1 species
CCUACGGGCGGCAGCAGUGGGGAAUAUUGCACAAUGGGCGCAAGCCUGAUGCAGCCAUGCCGCGUGUGUGAAGAAGGCCUUCGGGUUGUAAAGCACUUUCAGCGGGGAGGAAGGCGGUGAGGUUAAUAACCUCAUCGAUUGACGUUACCCGCAGAAGAAGCACCGGCUAACUCCGUGCCAGCAGCCGCGGCAAUACGGAGGGUGCAAGCGUUAAUCGGAAUUACUGGGCGUAAAGCGCACGCAGGCGGUCUGUCAAGUCGGAUGUGAAAUCCCCGGGCUCAACCUGGGAACUGCAUUCGAAACUGGCAGGCUAGAGUCUUGUAGAGGGGGGUAGAAUUCCAGGUGUAGCGGUGAAAUGCGUAGAGAUCUGGAGGAAUACCGGUGGCGAAGGCGGCCCCCUGGACAAAGACUGACGCUCAGGUGCGAAAGCGUGGGGAGCAAACAGGAUUAGAUACCCCGGUAGUC